ensembl:snoRNA predicted gene, 26158
UGGCACAUUUUAUUUUUUUCAUAUCAAGAGAAAAGAUAUUUCUGAUGCUAAACAAAGUUUGGGAGGUAAAUUAGCAGCAUGACUACUUUAGCCACUUCUGUCAGUUACUUUCAGACAAGA